rnacentral:rRNA from 1 species
UACGUAGGGUCCGAGCGUUGUCCGGAAUUACUGGGCGUAAAGAGCUCGUAGGUGGUUUGUCGCGUUGUUCGUGAAAACUCACAGCUUAACUGUGGGCGUGCGGGCGAUACGGGCAGACUAGAGUACUGCAGGGGAGACUGGAAUUCCUGGUGUAGCGGUGAAAUGCGCAGAUAUCAGGAGGAACACCGGUGGCGAAGGCGGGUCUCUGGGCAACAACUGACGCUGAGGAGCGAAAGCGUGGGGAGCGAACAGG